rnacentral:rRNA from 1 species
UACGUAGGGUGCGAGCGUUAAUCGGAAUUACUGGGCGUAAAGCGUGCGCAGGCGGUUUUGUAAGCCAGAUGUGAAAUCCCCGGGCUCAACCUGGGAAUGGCAUUUGGGACUGUAAGGCUGGAGUAUGGCAGAGGGGACUAGAAUUCCUGGUGUAGCAGUGAAAUGCGUAGAUAUCAGGAGGAAUACCGAUGGCGAAGGCAGGUCCCUGGGCCAAUACUGACGCUCAUGCACGAAAGCGUGGGGAGCAAACAGG